UGUCGGUGCACUUGUCUGACCAGAAAGCUUCUAGUUUUGUGUCAGGCAUCCUAAACAUGUUUUUGCCCUUCAUGCCUAGCUCCAAGAGGGAAACAAGGAAACUUAGAGCCAAAAUUACAAAGUUCUGCUUUUAAUAAAAAGACACCUGCCCAGAGAGUGUCAGGAAGUAUCCCACCCAUGGGAUCACCCUGCUUGUGCACCCAGCACAAACCACCCUUGUUUUACACUCGAAUAACCCUGCCUGUGCUGCACAGCAGGCAGGUGUAUGCGUGACAUACAUAUGUGUGACAUAUGCAGGACAAUGACAGGGGCCACGGCUGGGGGAGAGGCUCAGGAGUGUAGCCGUGAGCACGAGGCGCAUGCAGCGUGGACCUGGGGAAGGUGGGGGAGCCACCAGCCAGUUCAGGGUAAUUCAGCCUCGUGGGACUGCUGAUCACCACAACUUUAUCCCUUCCUCAGGCUGGUGUGUGCCAUGUGCAGGCAGGUUUAGUUCAGCCUCUUCCCUCCUGGUAUUUUCCCCUCUCACAGUGAGGAUGAAUAUGCUGCAGCUGGAUGGUGCAGCUGGGCAGCAGGACACCGGGGGCCCCACAAAGUCAUUCCUCUUCCUCCCCGGGUAACCACGGUGACCUCUGCUGUCACCAAGCGAGUCCAAGCACUUGUGCUCUGCCGCUGGGGAGAGAUUGUAUUCCAGCUCACCCUGGAGGUCCUCCAGUGCGCCGGGCACUGUACCUUGGAGAAAUUCUCAUUUGGGAUAAGGUGAAGCUGUGCCAGUGACAACCACAAGAAGAGCUCUCUGCUCAGAUGGUUUCAGAGGCUGUCUACAUCCAGAGAAAGAUCUUUGAAUAUUAAUGCUGUCUCUGGCAUCCAUGAGUCAAAGCACUCUGUGCUGGGUUGAUGAGGGUUGUAGGACAUGAGCGACAUCCUCAUCUCCUGCACAGGCAGCGAGCAAAGUCCCCGGGCUGCAGUGGCACCUCAUGCUGCGGUACAGGGCAGCACUCACUUGGCAGGACCCUGGCCUGGGAAUCGGGAGGCCGAGAUUUAUCGAGCAGCUCUGGCACUGGCUUGCCUUUUGUCCAUGCUCUGCUGGUGACGUCAAAAGCACGGUGACUGUUCUUUAGAGAAGCACUGAAGUUCAGGACGGUUGAGCUCAUUGUACCAUCCAAGCCCUUCAACUUCUCCCUCUGCUAUACCAAAUGGCAAGCAGGAGCAGGAGACACAGCCCCACCAUCAUGUUAUGGACCCUAAUCCUCAAAAUUAGUCCCAAGUUACUGUAGGUACCAUUUAAAACUACAACAUUCAAACAAUAGCUUCUGAAAUAUUCACCUCCUCCUCCUCCUCUUUUUGUCCUUAUUAAAAGCUAUUGAAUAUUUCUAAUGUGACAGGAAACAUCCUCUGUUGUUUCGCCACUAUAUGUGACUGAAAUGAAGCUGCUUGCCUGCACAGAGGUACCACCUGUGAAUGCUUUGCUAUUCUGGGCCCUGUACAGGUUGGAGCCUAACUUAUUUUAACUAUUGCAGUCUCGGCUACCUUGUAAAGUUCUUCCAGGCCAUUAAAGCUUGAUGGGGUUUUACCCUCUCAGCUAACAGAGACCCAGAAAAAUACAUGGAUUCUGUUAAAAUACAAAAUGCAAUCGGUUUAGUCAAUUAGGAGAUGAACUUCAUCCUCUCUCCUGUGUUCGCUGGUCAGAUGCUUUGAGAUCCUUGCUGCCCACCAGGACAUAGUCUCCUUCUCUGCCACCCUUUUAGACAGAGGUCAUGGAAUAACAGACAUGGUAAGGACCUGGGGGGCAGCUCGGGUGUAGUAAGUCUGCAUUUGAUCAGCACUGGAAAAUCACCCAGUCGUUACUCCUGCCUUCCAUGCACGAUCAUUUUCUCCCUUGCGGUUAUAAAUACAUUCAAUCAAAAUGAGCGUGUUUUACUUCUCUUUGUAAACAAUGCAAAUGCAAUGCAAACAUUUCACUGUCUGCUGCUCAGUAUUUCUGCAUAAUCUGGCAAUCCUGCACAGAGCAGAUAAAAUGGUAGGGAAGGAAAGUUCUUAGCUCAUUUCUCUUUUCUGGCAAAGGCAUUAUGUCUAAUGGCAGGACACUCAAUCUGUCUGCCCGUGAUACGCAAACAUUUCAUGUCUAAGUCUUGCUGUAGUGUCACCUCUGUUGGGGUCCUGGGAGGUGUUGCAGUCCCUGGUUCCUGCCACAACUCCCUGUUCCUGGUUGGAAGCCAUCACCGCCCCAUCAAACACCAGUUUUAGCAAAUCAGCAAAUUCAGACAGGAAAGUCUUGAACAAUUACUUCUUUCCUGCUGCCCAGCUCUCAGCUCGCUGCCUACGUGCCAUGAUGCACAGCAUGGCAGUGUUUUGGCAGGGGGCUUUCCUUGUGGGCCAGUUGCCUGUAUGUCUGUGUGUGCACUCAUUGCUCAGGCCCCCCAUUCAGCUCCAUAAAUCACCCUGCUGCUGGCCGUAGUGUGGCACAACCUACAAGGUGCAAACACACCUUCUUGCAAACCUGCAGCUGCAGCGCAUCCUGACAGGGAGGCUGGGGGUGUCUGCCAGCUCCGGGUUUCCCUGUAGCAUCAGGGCAGCAGCUUUAUACAUGCCGUGUUACAGCCAGCAGGCAGGUGGGGUGGCUUUCAUAGCGCCAUGGAAUAGAAUCAUAGCGGGCUUGUCUCUACUCAGCGUUAAACCACAUUAAGCACGUAGUCCUUACGUUCAUUUUUCCUUGGUUUGACAGGACUCCAGGGUGCCACAACUCAUGUUUGAAACUUAAAGCAAUGAUGUGGCAUUCAGUGCAGCUAACGAUGGGCAGCCUGACCCUGCCAACUGCUAUGUUAAAAAGUAAUGGAAGAAGAAACCCAAACACCUAUGGAAGCUGUUCCACGCAUAGCAGAGGAGGUACAAAGGGCAUAAAAGUAAUACGCCUCGUCUUGCUGCCUCCAUCUCAGCCUGGCCAUCUGCAGUCCUGGCACCUCUGCAGCAACUCUGGUGGCCUUCAGCAGUGUGCACAACAAGAGAGGCACUCAGCUUAGCAGGGCUCUUUUCUGCAAGGAAAUGAGGCUUUUGCAGUUGUGCUGGAUGUUCAUCAGCUGUUCUCCCUGGAGAGCUGUUGUUUCUCUGGUUGCUGGGACAAGUUGAGGCUGUCCCCAUGCCAGUCUGGGCAUUAAAUAGCGACCCCUGGCCUGGUGGCUGCGCUGGGAGCUGGAGGUGGGUCAGGUUUGGGAACAGCAGUCCCCAGGUGAGCACCAGAGGUCAGUAAGGAGCAAAGGCCAGAGCUGUUCGGUUUGAUGUUUUUGGCUCGCUUUUGAAAAACCUUCAAAAUCAGUUUUGCCCAAGGAAGGAGCAGGUCGAGAACAACAGAUCCUGCCUUGGGGCUGGAGGGAGGGGGCAGGGACACUUUCACAGUGCCCCUGCAGUGUCCCCAGGAGCCUGCCUGGGACAUGGGGUCAGGGAGCUAAAACAACCCCACACCUGCAGCCCCUCCAUAUCACCAAAUCUUCAAGAGGCUCAAUCAAAUGUCUUGACUGAGUUAUUCCAAAAUGCUCCCGGCAUUCCAGCUGGCAAACAUUUGGUGAUGCUGUUGCAAAAAUGACUCAGGAGGACAAGUUUCCAGCUCAGCCUUCCUGGGCUGAGAGAUGUGGGCAAUACGGAACGCUCCAGCCACAACCUUUCAGCGAAGCUGUACACCAACCUGACUGCGGCUGGGGCUGCCAUGGGGUUAAGGCGCUGCAGCAGGUCCCCAUGCAGGUGAGCUGGCACACAGGGCAGCAGGACUGAAACCAUUCACAGGCUUUGUGCGCAUCCCAUGAUGGUCACAGCGCAGAGCCCUGUGACAUAACAAGGUGGUGUUGGUGUUCCGGACACCCAGCGGCAGGGAAGAAGGGGGUUGCUGCUGGAGCUGGCCUUGGUGUCAUGGGGGCAGUCCCAGGCUACCCGCAUUGGAGUUUCAGUCAUGCUGUGCUCCCAGGCUGCCAUGGCUUUGGGGUCUGCUCAGCCUUGCUGACUCUUGGGUGGCACCCAGCUGUCCUCCAGAUGCUCCCUGCCUGCAGCUGGGGAGGCCGCCCCACAGCUUGCUGGCCUUCACCUGGCUCUGGGCCAUCCCGUGUGCGGGUGCCUUUCCAUUUUGCCAGGGGGAGGGCCAAGCUCCCAGCAGCCCCCCAGGCAGCGCCGCCUGCAGAAAGGCAGCUAACUCUGAAUGCAUCACUCUGCACGAAAUGAGCGUCUUCCCCAACAUGCUGAUGCUUCUCUUCUUCUGAAGGUACUUCAUAAGGCAGAAGUAGUUAGUGUGUAACACCUCUGUGCACUAUAAACACAUGGAGAAUUGCCUAAAAACCCUCCCCAUCCCUGCUUUGCCUAUCUCCCGGCAGGCAGCUGUGCUGGUUUGGGAGGUGCUGUGAGGGGUGCCCACCUCGCAGGAGCUCUGUGCUCUUCCUGCUUCGCCUCCCAGACCGGGCCCAGCCUUGGAUUUUGAGGGGGCAGCAGUGUUGUCCUCCAGGCUUGGGAAUUUGAGCCUCACCAGGACGAAUACCUAGUUUGAGACCGCAAGGUUAAGAAAUGUAUUUUGGAGAGGUUGUUUUGGAUAGUCUGUUUUUAGAAACAGACUUCUUUUUCCCCUCAGUUUCCCCUCCAUACACUAGGGCUGCUACCUCUUUAGAAAUUCUAACUUAGGAUGUUGGGGAAAUUUCAAAAACUAGGCCAAAAAAAAAAAAGGUUAAAACCACUAUGAAUAAUGUACUGAAUGUGCACCAAUUUACAACACGAAAUGCUAUUAAAUAACGGUGAUUUUUCUUUGAUCUGCAUUUUCUCCUCAACAUACCCCACCAUGAAGACACAUACCCAGCAAAUACCUUCAGUCCCCAUCUCCAAAGGAACACUGGUUGUAGUGCAUUCAAAGUUAGCUACCCCUUACACAGCUGCUCAGUUAAUAAUCGACCCAUUUAACAACAGUACCAGUUUAUGCUACAUAUGUCAUAGUACCUUACCUCAAAAGAACGGCAUACAUAUCUACACUUAUAAAAUACCAUUCACAGUUUCUUACUGUGGUUAUCCAAAAAGGGUUAGUCUUCAGAGUGCUAUGGACAAUACAGUGCUUUUAUCCCUAAGAGGGCUCAAAGCCUGGGCAGGGCGUGGGGACAGUGGCUCUGCGGUGACAGCCAAAGCUGGAUGUAUGCACGUGCCCUGGUCACAGCAACCACCCCGAGCCGUCAGCAAGAGGGUGCUGUGUAAGGUGCACCUCUGCCCUGGUGGCUUCAUGCACGAUGCGCUUGGAGCACAACUUCAUGGCUUUUUUUUUUUUCACUGGGGAGGGGAAAGAACUGGGAUGUAACUACUCGCAUGGCAUAAUACCUUACAAGCCUCUCUUUAACCCCCCCCCCCCCCACCAAGGUCCAAAGGGCUCUCUUAAAAUAAAGGAGAAAAAAACCAUAGCACUGACUGCUCUCACUUCCUCAUUGGGAAAGCAACCUUAGCUGUCCCUCUCACACCUCCUCCUUUCUCAGCACAGCCCCUAACUGGAGGAUGCCUUGGGUGGGACCGUUUCUUCAGCCUGGCACUGGUCACAAGAGGCACAUGGCUGCAGUUCAGGUAAGUAAGUCCCACCGUGUCCCACCACCGCCAGGUGGGCUUUAACACCCGCCAGCUUCCCCAGAAGGUGCUCCGCAUUGCCCAGCUCUACACAGUGAUCACAGCUGAUGCCACAGGGCAAUGAAGACAGCUGUAGCUUCAGUCCUUUCCCCA